GAUGAACGCUGGCGGCGUGCCUAAUACAUGCAAGUCGAGCGAACAGACGAGGAGCUUGCUCCUCUGACGUUAGCGGCGGACGGGUGAGUAACACGUGGAUAACCUACCUAUAAGACUGGGAUAACUUCGGGAAACCGGAGCUAAUACCGGAUAAUAUAUUGAACCGCAUGGUUCAAUAGUGAAAGACGGUUUUGCUGUCACUUAUAGAUGGAUCCGCGCCGCAUUAGCUAGUUGGUAAGGUAACGGCUUACCAAGGCAACGAUGCGUAGCCGACCUGAGAGGGUGAUCGGCCACACUGGAACUGAGACACGGUCCAGACUCCUACGGGAGGCAGCAGUAGGGAAUCUUCCGCAAUGGGCGAAAGCCUGACGGAGCAACGCCGCGUGAGUGAUGAAGGUCUUCGGAUCGUUAAACUCUGUUAUUAGGGAAGAACAAAUGUGUAAGUAACUAUGCACGUCUUGACGGUACCUAAUCAGAAAGCCACGGCUAACUACGU
rnacentral:rRNA from 1 species